AAAACGUAUAAUUUCCUUAUUAUUAUCUUUUGACAUUUUAAAAUUGUUUAUAGAAAUAUUAAUUAUUUACAGUUGUCUUUUUUUUUUAACGUCUAGAUUUAUUAUUUAUUGCAAAUUAUGAGAAAUGUUACAUAGACGAUUCUACAACGGACAAUUCCUUCCGACCCUUAUUAGAUUCACGACGGACGAUACUUCCUUCUUCAUGCUCUUGACGGACACCUUGAAUGAUCCACGACCUAAUGACACUUCUCUCUCUGCGUAGAAUCCUGGCUAACGGCUAUAAUUGUACAUCGCUGGAGAUCUCCUGCACAUUUGCCUCCAUUAAUCUGCAAAUUUAUUGAUAAAUCGCAGUAACUGAGACUCGAAUC
rnacentral:lncRNA from 1 species